UCUGUGUGUUUGCAUACGUGUCCUGCCUCUCUGCUCCCAGCCGUUAAGAGAUCAGAGUUGAUCGGUGGCUGUCCAGGCCUUUCAGAGACACUGACACGCCGGCAGCACAAUGAUGAUGUCACUGAUUCUACUGCUGGUCACCCUGGGGCUCCUUGUUCAGGAUUCAUCAGGAGAUAUCAUCCUGACUCAGUCUCCUGCAUCUCAGUCUGUUGUUCCAGGUCAGACUGUCUCUAUCAGAUGUAAAGCCAGUUCAAGUGCUGGUACAUGCCUUCACUGGUACCUCCAGAAACCUGAUGAACCUCCCAAACUCUUGAUUUAUUAUGCUACUAAUCGUCAGUCUGGAGUUUCAGGUCGUUUUAGUGGAAGUGGAUCUGGGACUGCCUUCACUCUGAGCAUCAGUGGAGUUCAGACUGAAGAUGCAGGAGAUUAUUACUGUCAGCAGGGUAACAGUUGGCCGUUCACACAGUGA